rnacentral:lncRNA from 1 species
AAAGCCCAAGAGUAAGCUAUGUGAGGUUGAUGGCGAUGCUUAAAAAGCAAUCGACUUACAAGGGUGUAAAAAAAUGGGCUCGAUAUUAAAUCGAGAAAGUAUGAUUUUUAUAGUUUAAAAAAUGGUUUUGAACUAAAUUAAAAUACAACAACUAUGCAUUAUUAACAAAUGAAAUUAUAAUAAACAUAAAAAAAACGAAAAUGUUAAUAAAAUACUACAAUAAUAAAAAAAAAUGCUAAAAGAAGAUAAAAUAAAAUAAUAAGCAAAAAGUACCACACAUGAGUGUUGAACCCUCUCCACUUAAUAUUAUGAAACUACCCUCUCUC